rnacentral:rRNA from 1 species
UACGAAGGGUGCAAGCGUUAAUCGGAAUUACUGGGCGUAAAGGGUGCGUAGGCGGUUCGUUAAGUCUGUUGUGAAAUCCCCGGGCUCAACCUGGGAAUGGCAAUGGAUACUGGCGGGCUAGAGUGUGUCAGAGGAUGGUGGAAUUCCCGGUGUAGCGGUGAAAUGCGUAGAGAUCGGGAGGAACACCAGUGGCGAAGGCGGCCUUCUGGACCAGUACUGACGCUCAUGCACGAAAGCGUGGGGAGCAAACAGG